rnacentral:rRNA from 1 species
UGAGUACGAGAUGCUACGGCAUCGAAGCAGUCUAUGUCAUACUUCCAAGAAAAGCUUGCACUGUCAGAAACAGAUAAUGCCUGUACCAUAACCGACACAGGUGGGUAGGUAGAGUAUACUAAGGGGCGCGAGAUAACUCUCUCUAAGGAACUCGGCAAAAUGACUCCGUAACUUCGGGAGAAGGAGUGCCUUAUUUUAAGGUUGCAAUAACAAGAUCCAAGCAACUGUUUACCAAAAACACAGGUCUCCGCUAAGUCGUAAGACGAUGUAUGGGGGCUGACGCCUGCCCAGUGCCAGAAGGUUAAAGAAGUCGGUUAGCAUUCGCGAAGCUGGUAACUGAAGCCCUGGUGAACGGCGGCCGUAACAAUAACGGUCCUAAGGUAGCGAAAUUCCUUGUCGGGUAAGUUCCGACCCGCACGAAAGGCGUAAUGAUUUGGAUACUGUCUCGGAGAGGGGCUCGGUGAAAUAGACUUGUCUGUGAAGAUGCGGACUACCUGCACCUGGACAGAAAGACCCUAUGAAGCUUUACUGUAACUUGAAAUUGAAAUUGGACUUUAUUUGCGCAGUAUAGGUGGGAGGCGUUGAAAAUAUUCUUGCGGGAAUAUUGGAGCCAUCAGUGAGAUACCACUCUUGUAAUGUUAGAUUUCUAACUUUAUAUCAUUAUCUGGUUAAAGAACAGUUUCAGGCGGGCAGUUUGACUGGGGCGGUCGCCUCCCAAAUGGUAACGGAGGCGCACAAAGGUUUCCUCUGAACGGGUAGAAAUCGUAUCUAGAGUGUAAAGGCAUAAGGAAGCUUGACUGUGAGACCUACAAGUCGAGCAGGGACGAAAGUCGGUCUUAGUGAUCUGACGGUGCUGAGUGGAAAGGCCGUCACUCAACGGAUAAAAGUUACUCUAAGGAUAACAGGCUGAUCUCCCCCAAGAGUUCACAUCGACGGGGAGGUUUGGCACCUCGAUGUCGGCUCAUCGCAUCCUGGGGCGGUAGUACGUCCCAAGGGUUGGGCUGUUCGCCCAUGAAAGCGGUACGCGAGCUGGGUUCAGAACGUCGUGAGACAGUUCGGUCCAUAUCCGGUGUAGGCGUUAGAAUAUUGAGAGGAGCCUUCUUUAGUACGAGAGGACCGAGAAGGACAUACCUCUGGUGUACCAGUUAUCGUGCCAACGGUAAACGCUGGGUAGCUAUGUAUGGAGUGGAUAACCGCUGAAAGCAUCUAAGUGGGAAGCCCACCUCAAGAUAAGUAUUCUCA